rnacentral:rRNA from 1 species
UACGGAGGGUGCAAGCGUUAUCCGGAUUCACUGGGUUUAAAGGGUGCGUAGGCGGGUAGGUAAGUCAGUGGUGAAAAUCUUCGAGCUUAACUCGGAAAACUGCCUUUUGAUACUAUCUAUCUUGAAUAUUUGUGGAGGUAAGCGGAAUAUGUCAUGUAGCGGUGAAAAUGCUUAGAUAUGACAUAGAAACACCUAUUGCGAAAGGCAGCUUACUACGCAUAUAUUUGACUGAGGCACGAAAGCGUGGGGGAUCAAAACAGG